rnacentral:lncRNA from 1 species
AAGUUCAGCAGUUGAGAACUUGUGACCAACCAUCCAAUAGAAUGUUGGGGUACUGUGAGGGUGGGGGUGAGGGAGAUUUUAAGCUUUCAGGGUACUUUUUGUUGUUCAUUAAUAUUUUCUGUUUUUGUUAUUAGUACUGGCCUUGUAUUACUUACCCAUACCAUUUGGUGAUAUUUUUAAUGGACCAUGGACCAGACAAGUGAAUCAACAUCCCAAGAGGAAUCCAAACCUGCUCAGGAAAAUGGAAAAGAAGCCAAAGAAAAACAGGACUCAACUGAAGUGGAAGAGCCUAUUGAGAAUUAAAUUUAGAGGAACAGCUGAAAACUUCAAAAGGUUUGACAAUGAACUUGAACACUGAAGUCCCAGGGAAUAUGAUAAUUAGAAAACCUGCAAGAGUAACUUUUAAUUUAGAUGAAAUUAAACUGAAACCAAAGCUAGAACAACCAUGGAAGAAAAAUCUUUUUUUAAGAAUGGAGGCAAGAGCCCAGGCAAUGCAGCAGAAAAUAAUAGAUAAGGAUAAUCUGAAGAAAGAAUUAGACAAAAAGUCUGAAAAAAAACUGCCUAGAGAUAAUUUGGCUAAAGAGUGGUUUAAUACUGAAAACACAGCACUGAGUACUCGUGCAUAUUUGCUUGACAAACUUCUACCCACCUUAGUUCCUGGAAUGGAAAAAAUGUUGACAAAACGAGAAAAGAAGCUUUUGACCAAAGCUGAUAGUCCAACCAAGUUUGAUCCAGUUAAUCAUUUGGGAGAAUGUUUAAUGAGAAAUAAUCCUAAUUAUAUCAAAGACCCAGGAAUGUCUGAAUACCAGAGGGUGAUGAGAGAUGUCACAGAAGAACUGAAGAUAUAUGUUCCUGACACUAUUUGCAACAGAUUCAAAAUAUCCUUCAUGAAUUUUUUCAAAAGCCAGAUUUUGAGCUUGUACAUCUCUUCAUGGGUUGCAGACCUUAAAAGUGAAAUUUUUGAGGAACUCCUUAAGCACCUUUGCCACUAUGCCGAUGAAUUCUGGGAGAUCAUAAAAACUGACAUGCAGAGACAGAUUUUUGUAGAACUUUUCCUACAUUGUGACCAUGGGAAGGUAGGGAUUUUGGAUCGGCAGAGGACAUUGGCCUUGCUGGAACAGUUCUAUGACCAAAGUUCACAAAUGCUUAGGAGUUUACUCCGAAACCCAAGGCAAUGUAAGUACUCUUCAGAGGGAGAAGCAUCCUUGAAAUGGAGUGACCAGUACUCUAAUAUGAUCAUUCUACCUCUCAUUUAAUCCCUUCAUAUAACUUCUUGAGUUAUGAUGAGUAUGGCUAUAUCU